rnacentral:rRNA from 1 species
AUGGAGAAGGAGGCAGUCCUGGACAUCGAGCAGGGGGUUCUAGAUGAGCUGGAGUCCUCGAUUCAGCGUCCAGACAUAGACUUUUGCCUUCUCUGCCCGAAGCCGUUGGAGACGCAGACGGUUUUGGUGGUCGAGGGCGAGGACCCCAAGUGGAUCUGCGAGGAUUGCGAAGCCGAUCUGCAGCAGGCUCCGGAUCCGGUCCUUGAGCCGCAGGGCCAGGGGGCAGUCCCGGUGAAUGUCGACGGGGUUUUUUACGAUCGGGCUGCGCUGGAGCAGCACCAGGCCAUAUGGGCGAGGCUGCAGGUGGAGCUGGAGAUGGCGGCCAUUCGUACGAAGGAACGCCACCGCGGCGGCCCGCCACCGCCACCACCGCCGCCGCCGCCAGGGGGGGUCUGCUAG